ACUCCUACGGGAGGCAGCAGUGGGGAAUUUUCCGCAAUGGGCGCAAGCCUGACGGAGCAAGACCGCGUGAGGGAGGAAGGCUCUUGGGUUGUAAACCUCUUUUAUCAGGGAAGAAGAUCUGACGGUACCUGAUGAAUCAGCAUCGGCUAACUCCGUGCCAGCAGCCGCGGUAAUACGGAGGAUGCAAGCGUUAUCCGGAUUUAUUGGGCGUAAAGCGUCCGCAGGUGGUUUUUCAAGUCUGCUGUUAAAGCGCAGAGCUUAACUCUGUAACGGCGGUGGAAACUGAGAGACUAGAGUAUGGUAGGGGUUGCGGGAAUUCCCAGUGUAGCGGUGAAAUGCGUAGAUAUUGGGAAGAACACCAGCGGCGAAAGCGCGCAACUGGGCCAUUACUGACACUCAUGGACGAAAGCUAGGGGAGCGAAAGGGAUUAGAUACCCCUGUAGUCCUAGCUGUAAACGAUGGGUACUAGGUGUUGACCGUAUCGACCCGGUCAGUGCCGUAGCUAACGCGUUAAGUACCCCGCCUGGGGAGUAUGCACGCAAAGUGUGAAACUCAAAGGAAUUGACGGGGGCCCGCACAAGCGGUGGAGUAUGUGGUUUAAUUUGAUGCAACGCGAAGAACCUUACCAGGGCUUGACAUGUCGCGAAUCUCGGUGAAAGUCGAGAGUGCCUUCGGGAGCGCGAACACAGGUGGUGCAUGGCUGUCGUCAGCUCGUGUCGUGAGAUGUUGGGUUAAGUCCCGCAACGAGCGCAACCCUCGUUUUUAGUUGCCAGCAUUUAGUUGGGCACUCUAGAGAGACUGCCGGUGACAAACCGGAGGAAGGUGGGGAUGACGUCAAGUCAGCAUGCCCCUUACGUCCUGGGCUACACACGUACUACAAUGAUUCGGACAAAGGGUUGCGAGCUAGCGAUAGCU
rnacentral:rRNA from 1 species